CUUUCCCCUGAAAAGAGUUGACGAAAGUGCUAAAGACUUUACUUCAGGGAAAAGGCUGAAAAAAUUGAAAAUAUAUUCCACUUUGGAGUGAUGGAUUUGGCAGCUCACGGGUGAGCUACCAGAGAAGAAGAAGAACAGGAGAUGUUUAUUUUAUUUUAUUUUUUAUUUUAUUUUAUUUAGUUUAUUUAUUUUAUUUAGUCGCGCGCGCCUCAACCUGGCUGACAGUUCCAAGAUUAUAGGUUAUGAAAGAUGUUCGUUCCUUCACUCAACCCUCUUACAUGAGCACGUUUCUUCUGCUGUGAAAUAUUUGGAUUAUUCCACAAGUCACAUGUUCAACAGGAAGUUCAACAGCAUUUGCUGAAGAUCAUGGGAAGAAGAAAAUGAAAUCCAGCACUCAAGAGAUGUUUAUCGUUGACCCGUCAUGCUCUGUGCCACACAGCUGACCUUGACGAUUCCCAUUCUUCUGUCACGGUGGGAGAAGAUAACUCAACUGGUUCUUGAGAGAAUGGAUUGGAUCUGUUGUAGGACAGAGCUGUAAACAUAGACCUCCCAUUGUUUCAUAAGCGGAGUUGACCUGAUGUUUGCGGAUGACGCCACCCCUGGACCUUAGCACUGUUUAUUUUCUUAAUUGCUGCUUUAUGCUUGUGUUUGUCAAGCUUUUACAGCAGUCGUCCCCUGAUUCCAAACGACUCCACAUGCCAAUCUGAUCAGCCAGGAAUGUGAGCAGGCAUGCAGCGUUUGAGAAAAGCAGGUGGGCUCCUUCAGCUCACGUCAAAUGACCUCCAUGGUUGAAGAAAUCUGCAUUUCUGAAUGCAUUGAAUGAAGGAAAAAAGCAAGUAAUGGCUACACACGACUGCUCCUUCCCUAAUCUAGAGUCCUCCUUAACUAACAGGAGGUUUCACUUGUGUUGAGAGAUGGGGAGGAGAUGAUACCAAGAAGGGACGGACCUCAAACUGUGAGUAAACAGCUGCAUGUAGGAUCAAUUUCCAGCUUGGGGACAGAUUCAUCUCGAACCCCUGAUCUCACUCGCUGAUCCUGUCACUGCUCUCCUAUUUAUAGACAAGACAGACUUUCAAAAGAUAAAAACCUCUGCUUUUUACUGAUCAGAUCAAUUUCAUACUUUUUUAUGAAGUGGAUAUACUUAGUAACUCGGAUUAAAACUUGUGAUGGUUGCUAAUGUGCAGUAUGAGAGGUACUAGAGGUAUUGAACUAAUUUUUUUUUUUUGUUACCAGAUUGUGACUUAUAGGAAAAUGUGGUGUUUUCAACUUAAAGCUUGUGUUUUAGCUAGCUAGUGUAUCGAAUUUGUGCUUUGUUCUGAUCUCGCAAAAAUUGAACACAUAUAAAUAUGACCUGCAAAUAGGUACAAAACUCAGCUCUGUAGCAUCUGUAGCUUAUGGUCGAUUACCGUGUACAAAUAUUCCAAGAAUUUUUGAGAAAACAGACAACUCAUGUAGUGGAUGUCUAAGGGGAAUUAUUGAUAUCCGUCAAUAAAGGUUGCAAAACGUAUUUUUGUAAAACCCUUUCAUGAAUCCUUCAGUCGUAGGUGAAGGAAGUACCUGUAUAAUUCAUCCUUUCAGAGACAGAACUACUUUUUCUGAAGGAAGACUUGGUAAUGUGCUUUCUGCCAGGGUAGAUGUGUGGCUCUGAUGGUGCAUGGAUACCACAAAACCUUCAAGAAAACACAAGUAACCGGAACUACUUUUACUAUUUUGCGCCAAUUUUAGAAAGUUGACGCACUCUAAUUACAAGAAAGAGACCGAUAUGCUAAAUGAAAAGCGGUGGUGUUGGGCCAACAUAGCUGUUAUGAUUGAACUCGAUUUGAAAGAGAAGGUGGAACUGUGUGAACGGUUUUAACAUUUGCUUCUUUUCCAUUUUCAGCAAAGAACAUAACGUAAAAAUUUCCUUAACAGAUUUCCUUUUCAAAUCAACUUAAUUAUUUCUGUGUUUUUCUACGUUUCAUCUGUAUAAACCUGAUCCUCCAGACACUCAGAGAGGCCCAUGUGUCUGGCCGACUGUUAAUAAUGUUCUCUUCUGUCCAUCAGCUGCGGAAUCCUGCGAUUCCUGUAUCAUUGCCAAUAAAGACACAGUUCAGGUGCUUUCUGUCUUCAGCAUGUGGGCAGGAGCCGCUGUGUAAACAGUCCUAACCAGAGAAUAACACCAAGAUUACUGAACAUGCCAGAUUUCUUUCAUGUUGUACAAUCAGCAACAAUAGUUGAGUUGCUGAAGUUGUGUACCCUUAAGGGAUAUUACUUCACCGUUAUUAUUAUAAAAAGUGGUAGUGUGUGUCAAAAAAAAAAAAAAAAAAAAAAAAGGGUCUGCAUUUUGCAUUGCAUUUUCUAAGAGUGAUAUAAAUCUUCUGACCAGUUUUUGGAUCUCCAAAUGUGUAAUAAACCAACGCCUGCUGUCAGACGAUAUCUUGCAGGAUUUAUCCACAUUUCCUUUUUAACACUUUGUAAUUAUAGAUUUUGAUGAUGAAUUGUAAUAUAUGGGGGGACAUUUCGCUUUAACUGCACAAAUCAAACUGUGAUUGCACCUGAAACACUUUUUCAGUUGGAUGGAUGUUUGUAAUUUAUAUGAUAUCUGAAACCAAACCCCUGCUUCAGCUGGCUUAUUCAACUCUGCCUCAGCUUAUAGAUGUGCUCAUGGCUGGGCGAUAUGACGAUAUAAUAUCAAUAUCAUGAUAAAUUAUGUUAUGACAUGCUUUUCUGAGAUAUCCUGAGCAUCGCAAUACCCUUUUAUACAUUUUAAAUAUUUUUAGUAACAAAUUACAAACUUGGAAAGCAGA